rnacentral:lncRNA from 1 species
CUGAAUAUGAAGCACUUUCCCAUGAUUAUUCCUUAGCUGUGUUAAAUCUUUUUCUGUUUCAGACUUUCCAGAUAUAUGGGGUCACUUCUGCAACACGCAGAAUGAUGUAAAGUUCUUUAAAAAUAAUUCAUGCAUCUCGGUGGCGAAGGUUUGUGUUUCAUUUACAUUCAGGAUUUUUCUUUCAACCCAGGCAUUGUACAGACAGGCAGCAGUGCAGACCUGCUGGAGGAGCUCAGCAGGAGGAGAGCCCGCGCUGCACCAGCAACGUGGUCUGAACAGAGGUCUGUGGUGGUCCAGCUCAUUGGAAACUUUCAUGCUUAAAUCAGGAGGAUGCUAUAGUUGGAGCUAAUCUGCGAGUGACCGACAGAAAUCUGGAUGAACAUAUGACACUGCCUCUGCUUCUAGUUGUCAGUUAAUAAAUUGUGUUAAAAAUGGU